rnacentral:rRNA from 1 species
CAGCAGCCCGGGAAAACGGAGGGUGCAAGCGUUAUCCGGAUUUAUUGGGUUUAAAGGGUCCGUAGGCGGAUCUGUAAGUCAGUGGUGAAAUCUCACAGCUUAACUGUGAAACUGCCAUUGAUACUGCAGGUCUUGAGUAAAUUUGAAGUGGCUGGAAUAAGUAGUGUAGCGGUGAAAUGCAUAGAUAUUACUUAGAACACCAAUUGCGAAGGCAGGUCACUAAGAUUUAACUGACGCUGAUGGACGAAAGCGUGGGGAGCGAACAGGAUUAGAUACCCCCGUAGUCCCUGUCUCUUAUACA